UGCUAGAGAAAAUUUAGUUUC
rnacentral:piRNA from 1 species